AACAGCAAAAAAAAAAUGGCGUAAAUAAACUCCAACAGGCUCGCCAUCGCACCAAAUAUUUGGUGUGAGAUGAACAGUGCCGCACCAAAUUUGGUGCUGCACUAUUCAUCUCACACCAAUUUGGGUGUAAAAAUUAAUUCC